AGAUGCAUGGCGCAGCUGAUGCAGCCAUGCCGCGUGAGUGAUGAAGGCCCUAUGGUUGGAAAGCUGUUUUUAUAGGGAAGAAAAUGACUGUACUUGUAUGAGAAUGACCGGACCUUUCCAAUACACCACGCCUAACUCUAUGCCAUCAGCCGCGGUAAUAUAAUA
rnacentral:rRNA from 1 species